GUAGGUGAACCUGCGGAAGGAUCAUUACAGAGUAUCAUGCCCUUCGGGGUAGAUCUCCACCCUUGAAUAACAUACCUUUGUUGCUUUGGCAGGACGCACUCGUGCCAGGGGCUUCGGCUGGAUCGUGCCUGCCAGAGGAUUCCAAACUCUGAAUGUCAAUGUCGUCUGAGUACUAUUUAAUAGUUAAAACUUUCAACAACGGAUCUCUUGGUUCUG
rnacentral:misc_RNA from 1 species